UCUCUCCUUUCUACCACAUGGAUCCCAGGGACUGAACUCAGACUGCCAGACUGCAGGCUGACAUCCUUCAAGUGGACAGAGCUACAACAUAGCUGGCAGCCACCAGUAACUUCAUGAGGAAAGCUGGCUGCCUGGAAAGAGAAGAGUGAGGCCCAGGAACCUGCCAGGCUCCAGACUUAUUCUCCACACUGCUGUGCCUUGUGGGAAGUUCCUCCUGACAACUGAGACCGGAAACGUUGGUGCGGACAACUGAGAGAGACCGGAAACGUUGGUGCUGAUUGAUGACGGUGUCUUUGCGCGCCUGCCCUUCCUUUCCCGAUUUCUCUCCACCAGGUUUCAGCCCUUGAUGCUUCUGGCCUGUGUCCACACAGCUCCUCAGGACAUGGUGUAUGUGAAAGUGAAGCCA